rnacentral:tRNA from 1 species
AGGGGCUUAGGAUAAUAUAGACCAAGGACCUUCAAAGCCCUAAGUAGGAGUUAAAAUCUCCUAGCCCCUG